rnacentral:sRNA from 1 species
UGGCAGUUUUUAUUCACAAAAUCUUGCAUUCCAACAGCGUUACAGAUGGA